CUCCAAGUACUGCUCGUUCAGAUUCGGUAAAAGCGGCAAGGAUGCCAAGGGUGCCGGAAUCUAUGCAACUCAAUCCGGUGGUGAGCUUGGUAAAGAUAAUGCAGAGCAGAUGGGAGUGGAGAAGCAAGUUCUGAAGGCUGGAACAGGUCCCAAACCGGUGGCAGGGCAGAAUGUGACGGUUCAUUGUACGGGUUAUGGAAAAAAUGGUGAUUUAAAUGUGAAGUUUUGGAGCACUAAGGACCCGGGGCAGCAGCCUUUCACCUUCAGAAUUGGGCAAGGCUCUGUUAUAAAGGGGUGGGACGAAGGAGUCCUUGGAAUGCAAGUGGGAGAAGUUGCACGAUUGCGGUGCUCUCCGGAUUAUGCUUAUGGAGCUAGUGGAUUUCCUGCUUGGGGGAUACAACCUAAUUCAGUUUUGGAUUUUGAGAUUGAGGUACUAAGAUUGGAGUGACAUCAGAGCAGGUGAGUUGGGGUAUCUUCGAAUCCAUAUUGUUACUAACAAGAUGCAGGACUAAGUAGAUUCAAGAACAGGUAGAAGAAAAGGUGGCAAACAAGCGUGUGCUUAUCUCAAAUCUGGCUGGUGUUAGUGACUGUACUCUUGAUUUCCACUCCUUAAGGCAUUGAUAGUGAAUUCAGAUAUGUUUUUAAAUGAUACUGUGGACAGCUCAGAGAUGUAAUAAACUCUUGCUUUUCUAAUAAGUAGCUCAUGGACUAAUUAGAUGGAUUUGACCUCUGUAUUGGCAAUCAACUCUCAUGGUUUGAGGA